rnacentral:rRNA from 1 species
AGAGUUUGAUCAUGGCUCAGAGUGAACGCUGGCGGUAGGCCUAACACAUGCAAGUCGAACGGCAGCACAGUAAGAGCUUGCUCUUAUGGGUGGCGAGUGGCGGACGGGUGAGGAAUACAUCGGAAUCUACUUUUUCGUGGGGGAUAACGUAGGGAAACUUACGCUAAUACCGCAUACGACCUACGGGUGAAAGCAGGGGAUCUUCGGACCUUGCGCGAUUGAAUGAGCCGAUGUCGGAUUAGCUAGUUGGCGGGGUAAAGGCCCACCAAGGCGACGAUCCGUAGCUGGUCUGAGAGGAUGAUCAGCCACACUGGAACCGAGACACGGUCCAGACUCCUACGGGAGGCAGCAGUGGGGAAUAUUGGACAAUGGGCGCAAGCCUGAUCCAGCCAUACCGCGUGGGUGAAGAAGGCCUUCGGGUUGUAAAGCCCUUUUGUUGGGAAAGAAAUCCAGCUGGUUAAUACCCGGUUGGGAUGACGGUACCCAAAGAAUAAGCACCGGCUAACUUCGUGCCAGCAGCCGCGGUAAUACGAAGGGUGCAAGCGUUACUCGGAAUUACUGGGCGUAAAGCGUGCGUAGGUGGUUGUUUAAGUCUGUUGUGAAAGCCCUGGGCUCAACCUGGGAACUGCAGUGGAAACUGGACGACUAGAGUGUGGUAGAGGGUAGCGGAAUUCCUGGUGUAGCAGUGAAAUGCGUAGAGAUCAGGAGGAACAUCCAUGGCGAAGGCAGCUACCUGGACCAACACUGACGCUGAGGCACGAAAGCGUGGGGAGCAAACAGGAUUAGAUACCCUGGUAGUCCACGCCCUAAACGAUGCGAACUGGAUGUUGGGUGCAAUUUGGCACGCAGUAUCGAAGCUAACGCGUUAAGUUCGCCGCCUGGGGAGCACGGUCGCAAGACUGAAACUCAAAGGAAUUGACGGG